rnacentral:rRNA from 1 species
GACGAACGCUGGCGGCGUGCUUAACACAUGCAAGUCGAACGCUGAAGCUCAGCUUUUGUUGGGUGGAUGAGUGGCGAACGGGUGAGUAACACGUGAGUAACCUGCCCCCUUCUUUGGGAUAACGCCCGGAAACGGGUGCUAAUACUGGAUAUUCACUGGUCUUCGCCUGGGGGUUGGUGGAAAGGGUUUUUCUGGUGGGGGAUGGGCUCGCGGCCUAUCAGCUUGUUGGUGGGGUGAUGGCCUACCAAGGCUUUGACGGGUAGCCGGCCUGAGAGGGUGACCGGUCACAUUGGGACUGAGAUACGGCCCAGACUCCUACGGGAGGCAGCAGUGGGGAAUAUUGCACAAUGGGCGCAAGCCUGAUGCAGCGACGCCGCGUGAGGGAUGGAGGCCGUCGGGUUGUGAACCUCUUUCGCUCAUGGUCAAGCCGCAACAAUGGUUGUGGUGAGGGUAGUGGGUAAAGAAGCGCCGGCUAACUACGUG